GGGAAGGGGAUAAUCCAAUACUAGUACAUAUCCCUUUAAGUGUUACUUGCUUUACACAGCUGACUCUCAUUGUAGCAGAGGCAGGCAUGGCUAAGUGUUAGCAGAACAACCUGCUGGGAUUUCAGCACCAGUCCGUUCGCUGAACCCUGCUUCCUAAUCACCGAGGGGCUGUCAGUUUGCAAUCAUGUCUCUGGUCAGAUGUCCCAGCAGCUCCACUUAUUGGAAAAAGAAAAACAUUGCAUUCACGAGGGGGCCACAACAUUUCCCCAAGGAGAAACAAAACAAGCCUCAGUGCAAUAAGGGGUCUCUAAUGGUCUAGAAAGGGGACUCGCUACCUGAUAUUGGAACUGACUGUGAGUUUUGUUAUGAGCCCACUACAUCUACUUUCCGCAGUUGGAGGGAUGGUCCGGACUGAGAGCCGUGAGCACUUUCCAAUUACAUCUAUUACCCACAGCUGGAGGGGUGAUUUGGAUAGAGAGCCGCAAGCAUGCUCCAACUACAUCUAUUACCCGCGGCGAGAGAGGCGAACCGGACUGAGAGCCGUAAGCAGGAUUUCUUUAUAUUUUAUUACCUGCAGCUGGGGCGGCGCUCUGAACUGAGAGCCAUAAACAAAUGAAGCUGUCCAAAUAUGUGAGUACUUUCCAGCGGGGGCUUGGUCAUGAGGAUGGCCGGUAGCCGGCUCUGGGAUUCACUUGCGGAGCAUUGGCCUCUCGCGGCGCCUCCCGCCCCGAACCCUACCUGGCUGCGUAGUGUCCCCCAGCUGCUUCCGUUGGCAGCAGUGGGU